AAAGUACUAACAAAAUGGCCAAGUGUUCCUGCUGUGAUAAUAAGAAUAUCUGCUUCUCCUUCAAACUUUUAUAGCGUAUUCUUAUAUAAUUAUACAUUAAUUUGGUGUUACAGAACAUUGUCGACGGGAGCAGCAAGAACGCUUUUUGAAACUGGAAAAAAAAUCAAUUAUUUAAUUGAAGUGGCUCGUUUGGGAGAAAACCGUAGCCAGCUGUAAAAUCAGCAGCCUGAAGUAGAUGCGUUGCCGGACUUCCAAUUUGAAACAAAAAAUACUGUAGACGCAUUUGAAGAUAAAUUAUUAACUUCCAAUGAUGUUUGCACACAAUUUAAACGCUUUAUGAUUAGAAUUGGUGGCAAAAGUGCUACCAAACACAUGGCUAACAUCCUAAGUGCCAUCUUUUCGGAUGAGUUGGCCCGUGAUUAUUUAUGGACGGGGCGCAGAAAUACAUUUGCAAAUUAAAAAUAUAUACGGUUUUAAAAGAAUACACAAAUGCAACGCAAGCAGAAUUAGAAAAAUUUGUUAUGGUACGGUUUCAUCAUGCUGGAGACAGACAUAAAAGGAAGAUAGGAUCCACGCAUUAAACCGUAUUAGAUAAAUGUUAGACAGCGCUGCCAUUCAGUCAGUGAAAUAACUUUUUGUUACUUUUUUUUACGAAUCACUAAAAUAUUACAGAAAACUUUUGCUACAUGUUAAGUUACACAAAAGUAGACCCUAAAGAAUAACAGUUCUUUUUGCUCAAAUGGUCUUAAUUACGUUGAAAAUUUGAUGAAAAGUAUCACUUUUAUUUACUGUUUUAUGCCUGAAAAAUUUUACAUUUGUCACUUUUUCUAUCUAAAAGUAAUUAUUAUUUUACUUUUUUAAGUUACUAUC